AUGCUCGUGAGGAUCGACGUGCUCACCCACCCAUCCGAGGGAGAGAAUGCGAGGAGCCAAGGCGCGAGCAUGCUGACGUGCACUCGUAAGCUUUUUGGUGACAUGGACGUACACGGGCGAGUGCCCGGCAAGCAUGCGUGGUCCGCAGCCGGAGCCGGCGGGGAGCAGCGCGUCGAUGAGGUCCGCCGGGAUGCCAUGGUCGGCCACAUGCAUGACGUGGCCACGGGCACGUCGGACACGCAGGUGGUUGAUUCUAUGGUCGUUGAGAGAGCUCGAAGUGAGUCACAGAGUACAUCUGGAUCUCUCCAGUCACUAUGUUGGGGAUCCUCAUCCUUUGGGGCAAUUGUGAGCGCAUACUUCAGUGGUUCUCUAGUGGAUACUUAUGGUGUAAGAUUGGUCUUUGGUGUUACGGCAUUUUUACCCCUGAUGACAUCUGCUGUUGCAGUUCUUGUUCUUCUUGUCACUGGGCUCAAUAGGAAGCUGGGGAUAAGUGAUGAAUGGUUCUCCAUUGGGGAUUCCUUGAUUCUCACAGUCCUUGGUCAGGCUUCCUUCAUGCCCGUGUUGGUGUUGGCUGCGAGGUUGUGUCCCCUGGGAGUGGAAGCGACGUUGUUCGCCACCCUGAUGUCCAUUUCGAACGCGGGAAGUGUCGCUGGCGGUCUGGUGGGCGCGGGCCUAACUCAGUUUCUGGGUGUCACAAGGGACAACUUCGACAAUCUGGCUCUGCUGAUCGUGAUCUGCAACCUCAGCUCCCUGCUGCCUCUGCCUCUCCUGGGCCUCCUUCCAGAUGGAUCACCAGAUGCUGAUAAUCGGCAAACUAAAGUUGAUUGA
rnacentral:rRNA from 1 species